rnacentral:rRNA from 1 species
GGGUUGUGAGGUUAAGCGACUAAGCGUACACGGUGGAUGCCCUGGCAGUCAGAGGCGAUGAAGGACGUGCUAAUCUGCGAUAAGCGUCGGUAAGGUGAUAUGAACCGUUAUAACCGGCGAUUUCCGAAUGGGGAAACCCAGUGUGUUUCGACACACUAUCAUUAACUGAAUCCAUAGGUUAAUGAGGCGAACCGGGGGAACUGAAACAUCUAAGUACCCCGAGGAAAAGAAAUCAACCGAGAUUCCCCCAGUAGCGGCGAGCGAACGGGGAGCAGCCCAGAGCCUGAAUCAGUGUGUGUGUUAGUGGAAGCGUCUGGAAAGGCGCGCGAUACAGGGUGACAGCCCCGUACACAAAAAUGCACAUGCUGUGAGCUCGAUGAGUAGGGCGGGACACGUGGUAUCCUGUCUGAAUAUGGGGGGACCAUCCUCCAAGGCUAAAUACUCCUGACUGACCGAUAGUGAACCAGUACCGUGAGGGAAAGGCGAAAAGAACCCCGGCGAGGGGAGUGAAAAAGAACCUGAAACCGUGUACGUACAAGCAGUGGGAGCACGCUUAGGCGUGUGACUGCGUACCUUUUGUAUAAUGGGUCAGCGACUUAUAUUCUGUAGCAAGGUUAACCGAAUAGGGGAGCCGAAGGGAAACCGAGUCUUAACUGGGCGUUAAGUUGCAGGGUAUAGACCCGAAACCCGGUGAUCUAGCCAUGGGCAGGUUGAAGGUUGGGUAACACUAACUGGAGGACCGAACCGACUAAUGUUGAAAAAUUAGCGGAUGACUUGUGGCUGGGGGUGAAAGGCCAAUCAAACCGGGAGAUAGCUGGUUCUCCCCGAAAGCUAUUUAGGUAGCGCCUCGUGAAUUCAUCUCCGGGGGUAGAGCACUGUUUCGGCAAGGGGGUCAUCCCGACUUACCAACCCGAUGCAAACUGCGAAUACCGGAGAAUGUUAUCACGGGAGACACACGGCGGGUGCUAACGUCCGUCGUGAAGAGGGAAACAACCCAGACCGCCAGCUAAGGUCCCAAAGUCAUGGUUAAGUGGGAAACGAUGUGGGAAGGCCCAGACAGCCAGGAUGUUGGCUUAGAAGCAGCCAUCAUUUAAAGAAAGCGUAAUAGCUCACUGGUCGAGUCGGCCUGCGCGGAAGAUGUAACGGGGCUAAACCAUGCACCGAAGCUGCGGCAGCGACGCUUAUGCGUUGUUGGGUAGGGGAGCGUUCUGUAAGCCUGUGAAGGUGUGCUGUGAGGCAUGCUGGAGGUAUCAGAAGUGCGAAUGCUGACAUAAGUAACGAUAAAGCGGGUGAAAAGCCCGCUCGCCGGAAGACCAAGGGUUCCUGUCCAACGUUAAUCGGGGCAGGGUGAGUCGACCCCUAAGGCGAGGCCGAAAGGCGUAGUCGAUGGGAAACAGGUUAAUAUUCCUGUACUUGGUGUUACUGCGAAGGGGGGACGGAGAAGGCUAUGUUGGCCGGGCGACGGUUGUCCCGGUUUAAGCGUGUAGGCUGGUUUUCCAGGCAAAUCCGGAAAAUCAAGGCUGAGGCGUGAUGACGAGGCACUACGGUGCUGAAGCAACAAAUGCCCUGCUUCCAGGAAAAGCCUCUAAGCAUCAGGUAACAUCAAAUCGUACCCCAAACCGACACAGGUGGUCAGGUAGAGAAUACCAAGGCGCUUGAGAGAACUCGGGUGAAGGAACUAGGCAAAAUGGUGCCGUAACUUCGGGAGAAGGCACGCUGAUAUGUAGGUGAAGUCCCUCGCGGAUGGAGCUGAAAUCAGUCGAAGAUACCAGCUGGCUGCAACUGUUUAUUAAAAACACAGCACUGUGCAAACACGAAAGUGGACGUAUACGGUGUGACGCCUGCCCGGUGCCGGAAGGUUAAUUGAUGGGGUCAGCGCAAGCGAAGCUCUUGAUCGAAGCCCCGGUAAACGGCGGCCGUAACUAUAACGGUCCUAAGGUAGCGAAAUUCCUUGUCGGGUAAGUUCCGACCUGCACGAAUGGCGUAAUGAUGGCCAGGCUGUCUCCACCCGAGACUCAGUGAAAUUGAACUCGCUGUGAAGAUGCAGUGUACCCGCGGCAAGACGGAAAGACCCCGUGAACCUUUACUAUAGCUUGACACUGAACAUUGAGCCUUGAUGUGUAGGAUAGGUGGGAGGCUUUGAAGUGUGGACGCCAGUCUGCAUGGAGCCGACCUUGAAAUACCACCCUUUAAUGUUUGAUGUUCUAACGUUGACCCGUGAUCCGGGUUGCGGACAGUGUCUGGUGGGUAGUUUGACUGGGGCGGUCUCCUCCUAAAGAGUAACGGAGGAGCACGAAGGUUGGCUAAUCCUGGUCGGACAUCAGGAGGUUAGUGCAAUGGCAUAAGCCAGCUUGACUGCGAGCGUGACGGCGCGAGCAGGUGCGAAAGCAGGUCAUAGUGAUCCGGUGGUUCUGAAUGGAAGGGCCAUCGCUCAACGGAUAAAAGGUACUCCGGGGAUAACAGGCUGAUACCGCCCAAGAGUUCAUAUCGACGGCGGUGUUUGGCACCUCGAUGUCGGCUCAUCACAUCCUGGGGCUGAAGUAGGUCCCAAGGGUAUGGCUGUUCGCCAUUUAAAGUGGUACGCGAGCUGGGUUUAGAACGUCGUGAGACAGUUCGGUCCCUAUCUGCCGUGGGCGCUGGAGAACUGAGGGGGGCUGCUCCUAGUACGAGAGGACCGGAGUGGACGCAUCACUGGUGUUCGGGUUGUCAUGCCAAUGGCACUGCCCGGUAGCUAAAUGCGGAAGAGAUAAGUGCUGAAAGCAUCUAAGCACGAAACUUGCCCCGAGAUGAGUUCUCCCUGACCCUUUAAGGGUCCUGAAGGAACGUUGAAGACGACGACGUUGAUAGGCCGGGUGUGUAAGCGCAGCGAUGCGUUGAGCUAACCGGUACUAAUGAACCGUGAGGCUUAACCUUACAACGCCGAAGGUGUUU